GACGAACGCUGGCGGCGUGCCUAAUACAUGCAAGUCGAGCGGAGUUACAGGAGCUUGCUCCUGUAACUUAGCGGCGGACGGGUGAGUAACACGUGGGCAACCUGCCUAUAAGACUGGGAUAACUUCGGGAAACCGGAGCUAAUACCGGAUAAUUCCUUUCCUCUCAUGAGGGAAGGUUGAAAGACGGUUUCGGCUGUCACUUAUAGAUGGGCCCGCGGCGCAUCAGCUAGUUGGUGAGGUAAUGGCUCACCAAGGCGACGAUGCGUAGCCGACCUGAGAGGGUGAUCGGCCACACUGGGACUGAGACACGGCCCAGACUCCUACGGGAGGCAGCAGUAGGGAAGCUUCCGCAAUGGACGAAAGUCUGACGGAGCAACGCCGCGUGAGUGAUGAAGGUUUUCGGAUCGUAAAACUCUGUUGUUAGGGAAGAACAAGUUCGAGAGUAACUGCUCGUACCUUGACGGUACCUAACCAGAAAGCCACGGCUAACUACGUGCCAGCCGCCGCCGUAAAAC
rnacentral:rRNA from 1 species